UCCCUGGUGGCUCAGAGGGUAGAGCAUCUGCCUGCAAUGUGGGAGACCCGGGUUCGAUCCCUGGGUCGGGAA
rnacentral:tRNA from 1 species